GGUGGGGUUGUAACUCAGUGGUAGAGCGCCCUCCUAGCACGUGUGAGGCACUGGGUUCAAUCCUCAGCCCCACUA
rnacentral:tRNA from 1 species